GCUCCGGUGGCCUAGUGGUUAGAGCGCCCGCCUCAAAUGCGGUAGGCCGUGGGUUCGAUCCUAGGUCGAGUCA